GUCCAUUCCAUCAGAUUGUCCUAUGGGCUUCAAAGUGCUGUUCGUGCAGGUAGCUUAAUAACAGACCUACUGCAUGGGCGGCACUUCCCAAGCCCAUUGUGACCCUACACGUCGGACCCAU
rnacentral:pre_miRNA from 14 species